ACUUUGAGUUUAGUUUAUUCUGGAAAUUGGUCCACCUUUUUUCAACUCCAUGUUGUAUUAACAUCAGGAUUCCAAGAGUAUUAUGUCUGCAUGUAUUGAUUUUAAAAUAAUUAUUUUGUUUUAUGCAUUAAUGCUUACCUAUGCAAUAGCUUAAUUCCUGUCUUAUGUUUGGAAAUCUUUUAUUAUUAUUAUUUUUGCAGGUUUUGAACUGUAUUCCAUGGUGCCUUCUAUUUGCCCUUUGGAAACCCUACAUGAUUCCCUGUCUCUAAAGCAGGUGGAUGAAUUUCUUGCCUCUGUUGCUGCUCCAUCAAGUGAAAAUCUACAGGAGACAUCUUCUCCAACUUGCAUGAGUCCACUGUCAGGAAG